rnacentral:rRNA from 1 species
GACGAACGCUGGCGGCAGGCUUAACACAUGCAAGUCGAGCGCCCUGCUUGCAGGGAGCGGCAGACGGGUGAGUAACGCGUGGGAACGUGCCCUUCGGUACGGAAUAGCCCCGGGAAACUGGGUGUAAUACCGUAUACGACCUCCGGGUGAAAGAUUUAUCGCCGAAGGAUCGGCCCGCGUUGGAUUAGCUUGAUGGUGGGGUAACGGCCUACCAUGGCGACGAUCCAUAGCUGUUCUGAGAGGAAGAUCAGCCACACUGGGACUGAGACACGGCCCAGACUCCUACGGGAGGCAGCAGUGGGGAAUAUUGGACAAUGGGCGAAAGCCUGAUCCAGCCAUGCCGCGUGGAUGAAGAAGGCCCUAGGGUUGUAAAGUCCUUUCGGUGGUGAAGAUAAUGACGGUAACCACAAAAGAAGCCCCGGCUAAUUUCGUG